AUGGACGGCGGCGGAGGCGUGAGGCCAUCGCUCCCGUCCGCGGCGGCGGGAGGAGCCUCCGGCGCGGACGAGCCUCGCGACGCGCGCGUGGUGCGGGAGCUCCUCCGCUCGAUGGGGCUCGGCGAGGGCGAGUACGAGCCGCGCGUCGUGCACCAGUUCCUGGACCUGGCCUACCGCUACGUCGGGGACGUGCUCGGCGACGCCCAGGUCUACGCCGACCACGCGGCCAAGCCCCAGAUGGACGCCGACGACGUCCGCCUCGCCAUCCAGGCCAAGGUCAACUUCUCCUUCUCCCAGCCGCCGCCGCGCGAGGUACGUUUUCUUUUUUUCCUUUUAUUGUAG
rnacentral:rRNA from 1 species